rnacentral:rRNA from 1 species
GACGAACGCUGGCGGCGUGCUUAACACAUGCAAGUCGAACGAAGAGCGAUGGAAGCUUGCUUCUAUCACUCUUAGUGGCGAACGGGUGAGUAACGCGUAAUCAACCUGCCCUUCAGAGGGGGACAACAGUUGGAAACGACUGCUAAUACCGCAUACGAUCUAAACUCGGCAUCGAGGAUAGAUGAAAGGUGGCCUCUACAUGUAAGCUAUCACUGAAGGAGGGGAUUGCGUCUGAUUAGCUAGUUGGAGGGGGAACGGCCCACCAAGGCGAUGAUCAGUAGCCGGUCUGAGAGGAUGAACGGCCACAUUGGGACUGAGACACGGCCCAGACUCCUACGGGAGGCAGCAGUGGGGAAUCUUCCGCAAUGGGCGAAAGUCUGACGGAGCAACGCCGCGUGAGUGAUGACGGCCUUCGGGUUGUAAAGCUCUGUUAAUCGGGACGAAAGGCCUUCUUGCGAAUAGUGAGAAGGAUUGACGGUACCGGAAUAGAAAGCCACGGCUAACUACGUG